rnacentral:rRNA from 1 species
GGUAGUAUUUAUAAAUAAAACCACUAAAACUUGGUAGUCAUAAAUAAUUAAAGAAACUUGUUUUUUAAUCGAUAAUACCCGAUAAAUUUAACUUAAUUAUAAAAUUUAUAUACCGCCGUUUACAUGAAACAAUUUAAACAAAAACUCAAAAUAAAUACACUUAAAAAAUCAGGUCAAGGUGUAAUAAAAAUUUAAGUAAAAAUAAGUUACAUAUAAUAAACAAAUUAAGGAAUAAAACUUAAAAUCCAAAAAGAAAAAGAAUUUAUAAAUAAUUUAUAAUUAAAAUUUAUAGUAGAAAAAAUACAUUAUGAUGC